UCCGGGUGUUCUCCUGUGGUUUUGCCGUAGCGUGCUUACUCUGGAUCGCAGUUCGCUGCUGUUUCAAAAUCAGACCACGUUUUGCUGGUAAAAUAACAGGCAGUUUUAUUUUCUAAGGUUAACAAGGGUAUGUGGUAGAUAACUAAUGCCGGAUGUCAAGGACAAGAGCCAGAACAGGGAGCCCUGUGGUGCCUGUUUUGAUGGGCACAUCCUGAAAGGUCUUAGCCUGAAAAUAAGGUGAAUAUGCGAGGCAGGAGCUUGCAGGGCAAGCCAGUCAUGGUGGGGAAGAGGCAGGACAGCGCUCAGGCGUGGUCUCCCAGUCUGGUGGAGGAGUCCUGCGCCUGGCUAUGGCGGUUGGAAGCCUCCGUACACAGGGCUGCUGUUUGCUGCCACCGGUAUGGGAUGUGGUGUUUGGUCAAGAAUACUGGCCUGCUUGUUCCUUCCAGAGAAAACCGAUCUCUCCUUGCUGAACAUAAAAGAAGCUUUAUCAAAUGUUGACUAUGUAAAUAAUCUUUCUGGCAAUAUUCUUCGCAGCAACCAGUCUAUUCCUCUCAUGACCUUAAAUCCUGUAGAUACUAAUAAAUGAAGAUUAGCCUGCUGCGGGUGUAAAACUCUAAAGUUGCCAUAGCGUUCCUGUAAAAUGUUCACUGCUGCCAAAAACACCAAACAAAAAACCCAUAAUCAUUCUUCAUCUGCAAAACAGGCUUAUGGUGGAGAUCCCUCCGGAAGUCCUGUGAAUCCCCUGCCCUCUCCGUAUAUGGAAACACGGACUCAACUCCAUGGACUCCAAAAUGGAACUAGUGCUAGUCUAUUAAAAUUACGU